GACGUGGGAUAACAGAAGGGAAACUUCUGAUAAUACUGGAUAAGUUAGUAUAUCGCAUGAUAUGCAAAUGAAAGCUACGGCACUAAAGGAGAGCUUUGCGUCCUAUUAGCUAGUUGGUAAGGUAAGAGCUUACCAAGGCGAUGAUAGGUAGCCGGCCUGAGAGGGUGGACGGCCACAAGGGGACUGAGAUACGGCCCUUACUCCUACGGGAGGCAGCAGCC
rnacentral:rRNA from 1 species